UACGGAGGGUGCAAGCGUUAUCCGGAUUCACUGGGUUUAAAGGGUGCGUAGGUGGGCAGGUAAGUCAGUGGUGAAAUCUCUGGGCUUAACCCGGAAACUGCCGUUGAUACUAUCUGUCUUGAAUAUAGUGGAGGUGAGCGGAAUAUGUCAUGUAGCGGUGAAAUGCUUAGAUAUGACAUAGAACAUCGAUUGCGAAGGCAGCUCGCUACGCUAUUAUUGACACUGAGGCACGAAAGCGUGGGGAUCAAACAGG
rnacentral:rRNA from 1 species